rnacentral:rRNA from 1 species
GUUAGGAAUUUUGCGCAAUGGGGGAAACCCUGACGCAGCAACGCCGCGUGGGUGAUGAAGGCCUUCGGGUCGUAAAGCCCUUUUGUGGGGGACGAUGAUGACGGUACCCCACGAAUAAGCCUCGGCUAACUACGUGCCAGCAGCCGCGGUAAAACGUAGGAGGCGAGCGUUGUCCGGAUUUACUGGGCGUAAAGAGCGCGUAGGCGGUCUUAUGGGUCAGGUGUGAAAUCCUCCGGCUCAACUGGAGGGGGUCACUUGAAACUAUAGGGCUAGAGUGCAGUAGAGGGAGACGGAAUUCCCGGUGUAGUGGUGAAAUGCGUAGAUAUCGGGAGGAACACCAGUGGCGAAAGCGGUCUUCUGGGCUGCAACUGACGCUGAGGUGCGAAAGCGUGGGGAGCGAACCGGAUUAGAUACCCCGGUAGUCC